UACGUAGGGUGCAGGCGUUAAUCGGAAUUACUGGGCGUAAAGCGUGCGUAGGCGGUUUGCUAAGACAGAUGUGAAAUCCCCGGGCUUAACCUGGGAACUGCGUUUGAAACUGGGAGACUAGAGUGCGGCAGAGGGGGGUGGAAUUCCACGUGUAGCAGUGAAAUGCGUAGAUAUGUGGAGGAACACCGAUGGCGAAGGCAGCCCCCUGGGCCAGCACUGACGCUCAUGCACGAAAGCGUGGGGAGCAAACAGG
rnacentral:rRNA from 1 species